AGGAAAACCUAGAAGAAAUUCAGAAUUGUUUUCUGUGGAUGAAGCAACCCGGGGUCGGACUCUGCUGCUCCCUGGCGGUCGGUGGGAGUUAUUGCAUCACUGGCCAACUGCCCCUGCUGCUCUGAGGGCCUGGCCUUGUCUUUCUUCACAAUGGAUGCCCAGGAGAUGGCAAAUCUACAUCCGCCUUGGAGGAGGAAUCUCCUCUACAAUGACUCUGACAAGCGACCUUUUGAACUCGUCCAGUUAGCGGGAAUCACUACUCUACAGGGGACUAUUCUCAUUUUUCCACUGCUGGAAUUAUUUUAAAAAAACCAAAAAAAAAAAAUGUUGCUGCCAUCUGGGGCCCUGAAAUUUUACCCAGGAUAGUAAUUAUAUAAUAAUAAUAAUAAUAAUAAUAAUAAUAAUAAUAAUAACAACAACAACAACAACAACAACAACAGAACUAACAAAUUGAGCAUUUACUAUGUGCCAGAUGAGAAAACUGAAGCCCCAGAGAGUUUCAGGAAUUUGACCAUGAGAUGACUGAUGGCCGGGGAUUUGAAACCAAGCAGCCUGACUCCAGAGUCUUUAACAAAACAGUAUUGUAUUCUAAGUUACACGGAAGGUUACCGCCUCACGGAAGGUUACCGCCUCUUUACAUAACCAUCCUCAAGCCCCUCAGCUGGGUUACACAGUUGCAGAAUUUCUUAAUUUCUCAUCAUAGUUCCUGAUUUCCAGGUUCUUUGAGUCACCCACCCCUGGGGAGGCGAGUGCUUAUCUGUGUCCUUCAUAGAAGGUGGGGAAGGUGGGGAACUGCAUCUGAACACAGUGUCUUAGCUGUGAUGUGACUGGCUCAUAUCCUCAUUUGAACAAUGUGCUUCUAGUGAUGCAGACUAAUUAUAAUUAUGAAAAUUGUUAACCCUUGUUGAAUUUGCUUAUGUACCAGGCCCUGUGCCAGGUGCUUUCUGGAAGAGCCACAUGUGGAAGGUAUUUCUGUAUCCCUUUUGCACAUGAGUAAUCUGAGGCUUAGAGAAGUUGGUUAACUUGGCCAAGCGCGCACAGCUAGUAAGUAGCUGGGCUGUGAGCCAAGGUCUCUCUCAUUCCAAGCCUAGGGUACUUAGCCAUGAAGAUGUUAUUUCCCUCCCUCUGUCCCCACCUACCCAUGACACACACAUUUGGCUCCAGCAAAUGAAGAGGAAUAAAUGCACUGACAAUUUACCCAGACAGCUCUGAAGCAGUGCCUCCACCUCCUCUCCCCAGCUUCUGGGAGCUGCCAAAUCUACCCUUUCCUACAAUCACAGCCCUGAUUAAACCCUUCCUGUUUGCACUCCCAUUUCCCACACCACUCCCUGUCAGUCUAUCUAGCUCAUCCCAGUUGAUUCCUUUCCUUGCUUCCCUGCUGUGCCUCUCAGCCACCAGUCACCUGCUUCUCCCUCCCAGCAACUUCUCUCAAUCCAUUGCUCUCCAGUGUUUCUGGUGGCCUGGCCCCUGGAGAAAAGGCUCCAGCAUUUGCUCCUUUCAGGUUGAACUUUUCUCAGUCCCUUCUCCUUGCUCGUCUUUCUUUGCUCCCUCCACUUGUCAGGGAAGAACUUCCCACAUCUCUACCCACCACCCUAAGGCCCCUUCCUUGCCUCCCUGAGAUUCAGCUCAAAACCCACCUUCUCCAGAGGGAAGACAUUUCUGGGGGAGACAGAGAUUCUUUUCUCUCCUGAACCCCCCAACAGUGAGUGAUUCUGCCCCUGGUGUGGGUCUCUACAGGGGCAGAAGUGCAUCCAUCAACCCACCUUUGUAGGAAUUCCUCCCCCUCCAAUGCUCUGCCCCUGGCUUCCAACAGACCCUGGGUGGGGAGGGCCCAGGGUCCCUGCCUUGGGCUGUGUUCUGCUGUCAAGGGUACUAUUUAAUUUUCUAUUUUGGGCCCAGUGAGCCUCAACCCGAAAGGAAAAAUCUUUUCAGCUGGUUUCUUCACCAGGAUCCCUGCAACUUAACAAUGUCAGCCCCCUGCACGUGGCCCCCGGCCCCCAGCCCCCAGGCACACUGAGCUGCUUUUCCUUUCUCUUCUGUAAAAUGCUACCCCAUCUUCAGGGAGAUGUAGGCUCUUUCUGUACUCCCAUCUCACCUUGUAUAAAUACGUGCUCCUAGUAUAGCAGUUACUUUAUUGGAUUGGGGUUACCUGUUUGUGUCAGAGCCGAAACGGCAUCAUCCCAUCUUUGCAUUUUGCACAUGUAGCGUGGAGCCUGACAUACAGUGCUCAAAAAUGCUUAAAUGGAUGAAAAAAAAAAUCAGUGAGUAGAAUGCAUAGGCAGGACUGUGAAGGUACAUUUCUGGGAGUGUAGGUGAGUCUCCAGGACUAUGUAAACAAUGUGUGUUUGUGUGUCUUUUUUUUUUCCCCUUAAACCAGCAAAAUGAGUUUAUUAAAGAAUAGUAGAGAACUGCAAUUUCAGACAAGCAAAUUGUGGCAAAUCAUAUGCAAGCCUGGAGAACAGAGGAGAGAGACUUGCUUUUAUAGAGGAAAGGAGGAACUUGAGGAGGGCUGUGAUGGUUCUUCAUUGGCUUCAGGCAGUGGGCAGCUUCUUGACUGACCAUUCCAGGAGCACAUUGAGACUUCAUGUUGGCAGGUUGGGGGUGGUGGUGCCUUGGAAGCUAUGACCAGGCGAGUUGGAGAUGGAGACGGAGUUGGGGCCAGGCUUUGGUUUUGGCAAAGCUGUUCAGCAAAGGCAGGUGGAAGCAAAACCAGAGAAGAGGGAGCACUCAGUCUUCCAAACUAGACCACACAGGUCCAUUUUCCAGGGCAGAUGGAACAAAUACAGUGAAUCUAUGGAGCACAGCAAUUGUCAAUUUCUGUACCUCUCAGCAUCUCCCCAACCUCCUGGCUCAUCCUCCAACUGCCUAUAGGCCAGUGCUUCCCAAAGUAUGAGCCACAACUGAGCAGCUUCAGCACCACCUGGGAGCUUGUGAGAAAUGCAGACUCUCGGGCCCCGCCCCGGUCCUGUGCGAUCCCAGGUAGUUCACACGCACACGUGUGCCUGAGAAGCCCUGUUGUGAGCCCGGUUUGCCCUGCAGCUGUGUUUUCCCUUCUUCCUGACAGUCAUCGGGAGCACCUCCAACACAGCCUGGUCACAAGAGGUUGUGCCUGACAUCUCCCGGUGUCUCCUCUCGAGCUGAGAUGCUUUGGCUGAGCAGGGCUGUCCUUGGGCAGAGGAGCCAAUUAGUAAAAGGAGAGGCUUCAAAGAGGCCUAACCGGCCUGAGUAAAAGCCCGAGGUCAAUUACAAACACCUAACAGUCCCUGGCUGGAACAAUCUAUUGCUUCACCUACAGGUUAGGAAGAUACCCAAGAAAACUACGCUUAGAUGUGCUGUGACUUUCCUGCUUUUAUUCCAAGGAAGGGCUUGGCUCCCAGACUUCCUUUCUGUAGGAACUCUUGAAAUGUCACUUUCCACUCUACCUUUAAAGUAAGUUCCAGGCUUGGCUGAAAUUGUCUGAUUUAUCAUCCUUCAAUUGAAGUGCACCACCCUCCCUCCAGUUUGGGAAUAAGAGGGACAAAGCCAUGGACCACCUCCUGCUACAUCCCCUCAACCCCCCAGCAGAACUUCUUCCCUCCCAGAUCCCAUCCUUCUGGCAUCUCCUUAGGACUCAUCACCUCCCUGGCUCUCUGGACUGGCCUCCACUAUUCCAGCCCCUACACACUUCCCCUCUGUGCAGCUACGGUGACAUUCAUAGAGCACAACUUAUUUCCCAGUUCUUCAGUAACUCCUUAUUGCCUUCAAGGGAAAAAAAAAUCCAACACUUACAGACUAGCAUAAGGGCCCUCCAGGAUGAGGCCUCUGGCUUCUCUCUUCAGCCUCAUCUCACCUCAUUCCUUUGCUGCAAUGUGUCCCAUCACACUGAACAACGUUGGGAUGCUCAGAAGCAGAGCUCUCUCAUGUGCCUUUGCACAUGCUGUUCCCUUUACUUGUCCCGUUCUUACCUUCACCCUGAAGCAACUCCUCACCUCCCUCAAGAUUCAGUUUGGAACACGUUGGUCUCUCUUGGAAGCCUUCCCUGUGCCCUUACAUUUGAUGUUUUAUAUCUCUCUUCUGAACUUCUGUGGCAUCUCUAGUCAAAACAUUUAAUACAUUAUAUAUUUAAGACA